UCAUCAAAAAGGGCUGAGAAU
rnacentral:miRNA from 1 species